CCAAUUUAGAAGUUACGGAUGGGUAAUAGACCCAAAAACACGCGGGUGACCACAACAUGCCCAUCUCGUGGAAAGCUUCACUUAGGAUCGGACCAUGUCGCACAAAAUUAGGAUUGUGCCAUGGAUGCAGCAACGAAGGGCACAAGUUUAAAGACUGUCCGAACAAUGCAAAAGGGAAACAGAAAUCGGCCUUGCAGCCAGGCUGAAUAUUUGCAAUGGUACAAACAGAGGCAGGAGAAGGAGCAAACGUAAUCACAGGUUCAAGGAG
rnacentral:lncRNA from 1 species